rnacentral:rRNA from 1 species
GCCCUAGUAACGGCGAGUGAAGCGGCAACAGCUCAAAUUUGAAAUCUGGCGUCUUUGGCGUCCGAGUUGUAAUUUGCAGAGGGCGCUUUGGCAUUGGCAGCGGUCCAAGUUCCUUGGAACAGGACGUCACAGAGGGUGAGAAUCCCGUACGUGGUCGCUAGCCUUUACCGUGUAAAGCCCCUUCCACGAGUCGAGUUGUUUGGGAAUGCAGCUCUAAAUGGGAGGUAAAUUUCUUCUAAAGCUAAAUACUGGCCAGAGACCGAUAGCGCACAAGUAGAGUGAUCGAAAGAUGAAAAGCACUUUGGAAAGAGAGUUAAAAAGCACGUGAAAUUGUUGAAAGGGAAGCGCUUGCAGCCAGACUUGCCUGUAGUUGCUCAUCCGGGUUUUUACCCGGUGCACUCUUCUACGGGCAGGCCAGCAUCAGUUUGGGCGGUUGGAUAAAGGUCUCUGUCAUGUACCUCCUCUCGGGGAGAACUUAUAGGGGAGACGACAUGCAACCAGCCCGGACUGAGGUCCGCGCAUCUGCUAGGAUGCUGGCGUAAUGGCUGUAAGCGGCCCGUCUUGAAACACGGACCAAGGAGUCUAACAUCUAUGCGAGUGUUUGGGUGUCAAGCCCGAGCGCGUAAUGAAAGUGAACGGAGGUGGGAACCUUUCGGGGUGCACCAUCGACCGAUCCUGAUGUCUUCGGAUGGAUUUGAGUAAGAGCAUAGCUGUUGGGACCCGAAAGAUGGUGAACUAUGCUUGAAUAGGGUGAAGCCAGAGGAAACUCUGGUGGAGGCUCGCAGCGGUUCUGACGUGCAAUUCGAUCGUCAAUUUGGGCAUA